rnacentral:rRNA from 1 species
AUAAGACGGGGGGGUCUAUUUUGUUGGUUUCUAGGACCGCCGGAAUGAUUAAUAGGGACAGUCGGGGGCAUCAGUAUUCAAUUGUCAGAGGUGAAAUUCUUGGAUCUAUUGAAGACUAACUACUGCGAAAGCAUUUGCCAAGGAUGUUUUCAUUGAUAAGGAACGAAAGUUAGGGGAUCGAAGACGAUCAGAUACCGUCGUAGUCUUAACUAUAAACUAUGCCGACUAGGGAUCGGACGAUGUUAUUCUUUGACGCGUUCGGCACCUUUCGAGAAAUCAAAGUGCUUGGGCUCCAGGGGGAGUAUGGUCGCAAGGCUGAAACUUAAAGAA